rnacentral:rRNA from 1 species
GUAGGUGGCAAGCGUUGUCCGGAAUUAUUGGGCGUAAAGCGCGCGCAGGCGGUCCUUUAAGUCUGAUGUGAAAGCCCACGGCUCAACCGUGGAGGGUCAUUGGAAACUGGGGGACUUGAGUACAGAAGAGGAAAGCGGAAUUCCAAGUGUAGCGGUGAAAUGCGUAGAGAUUAGGAGGAACACCAGUGGCGAAGGCGGCUUUCUGGUCUGUAACUGACGCUGAGGCGCGAAAGCGUGGGGAGCAAACAGGGAUUAGAUACCCUGGUAGUCCACGCCGUAAACGAUGAGUGCUAAGUGUUAGGGGGUUUCCCGCCCCUUAGUGCUGCAGCUAACGCAUUAAGCACUCCGCCUGGGGAGUACGGCCGCAAGGCUG